GAGGGUAUAGCUCAGUGGUAGAGGGCAUGCCUAGCAUGCACAAGAUCCUGGGUUCAAUCCCCAGUAUCUCCA
rnacentral:tRNA from 1 species